rnacentral:rRNA from 1 species
AACGAACGCUGGCGGCGUGUCUUAAGCAUGCAAGUCGAGCGGCAAGGCGGGGCAACCUGCCCUAGAGCGGCGGACUGGUGAGUAACACGUGGGUGAUCUACCUCUGGUUUGGGGAUAGCUCGUGGAAACACGGGGUAAUACCGAAUACGUCGGCAUGGCUACGGCCGUGUCGGGAAAGGCGCUAAGGCGCCGACCGGGGAUGAGCCCGCGCCCCAUUAGCUAGUUGGUGAGGUAAUGGCCCACCAAGGCUAUGAUGGGUAGCCGGCCUGAGAGGGUGUACGGCCACACUGGGACUGAGAUACGGCCCAGACUCCUACGGGUGGCAG